rnacentral:piRNA from 1 species
UGACCAGUCCUCCUUUUUGAGCUCCCUC